GAUGAACGCUGGCGGCGUGCCUAAUACAUGCAAGUAGAACGCUGAAGGAGGAGCUUGCUCUUCUGGAUGAGUUGCGAACGGGUGAGUAACGCGUAGGUAACCUGCCUGGUAGCGGGGGAUAACUAUUGGAAACGAUAGCUAAUACCGCAUGACAACAGUUAUUGCAUGAUAACUGUUUAAAAGGGGCAACUGCUCCACUACCAGAUGGACCUGCGUUGUAUUAGCUAGUUGGUGAGGUAACGGCUCACCAAGGCGACGAUACAUAGCCGACCUGAGAGGGUGAGCGGCCACACUGGGACUGAGACACGGCCCAGAAUCCUACGGGAGGCAGCAGUAGGGAAUCUUCGGCAAUGGACGGAAGUCUGACCGAGCAACGCCGCGUGAGUGAAGAAGGUUUUCGGAUCGUAAAGCUCUGUUGUAAGAGAAGAACGAGUGUGAGAGUGGAAAGUUCACACUGUGACGGUAUCUUACCAGAAAGGGACGGCUAACUACGUG
rnacentral:rRNA from 1 species